CUACGGGCCGCAGCAGUGAGGAAUAUUGCACAAUGGGGGAAACCCUGAUGCAGCAACGCCGCGUGGAGGAUGACGCAUUUCGGUGUGUAAACUCCUUUUAUAUGUCAAGAAAAUGACGGUAGCAUAUGAAUAAGCACCGGCUAACUCCGUGCCAGCAGCCGCGGUAAUAAGGAGGGUGCAAGCGUUAUUCGGAAUCACUGGGCGUAAAGGAUGCGUAGGCGGGUUGGAAAGUCAGGUGUGAAAUCCUACAGCUUAACUGUAGAACUGCACUUGAAACUUCUAAUCUAGAGUAUGGGAGGGGGAGAUGGAAUUAGUGGUGUAGGGGUAAAAUCCGUAGAUAUCACUAGGAAUACCUAAAGCGAAGGCGAUCUCCUGGAACAUUACUGACGCUAAGGCGUGAAAGCGUGGGGAGCAAACAGGAUUAGAUACCCGUGUAGUC
rnacentral:rRNA from 1 species